GUGUGUGUGUGUGUGUGUGUGUGUGUGUGUGUGUGUGUGUGUGUGUGUGUGUGUGUGUGUGCGUGGACAACGCAUACAAGGCGGGUAGCUUGUUUUAAAGCCAACUGAUAGAUUUGGGUUCAGUUGUCUUAACAAAACAAAAUCUUCAUCCGUGAAAAUGUUUUCAUCCUGGAGGAGACUGUUCAGGAGGCAGAGGAGAUACAUGCAAAUCCAUGUUAUUUCUAAGGUGAUUGUUAGUUUAAAGUAUAUGCAGUGAUUCUUGAAUAUAACUAUAGCCUAACAGAUACCGCAAUUGUUUUCUACCAACAGGAAAGAACCGUUAGUACAGCAUGCCAAACUGACCCCCUGGGUGCCAGAGUGUUCCUGUGCUGCGUGGAGAAGAGGUCCACUGGAACCCUCAAUAAAGAGGUCCACCAGGACCCUCACUAAAGAGGUUUACCGGGACCCUCACUAAAGAGGUCCACCGGGACCCUCAUUAAAGAGGUUCACCGGGACCCUCAAUAAAGAAGAUUACCGGGACCAUCACUAAAGAGGUCCACCGGGACCAUCACUAAAGAGGUCCACCGGGACCCUCACUAAAGAGGUCCACCGGGACCCUCACUAAAGAGGUCCACCGGGACCAUCACUGAAGAGGUCCACCGGCACCCUCAUUAAAGAGGUUCACCGGGACCCUCAAUAAAGAAGAUUACCGGGACCAUCACUAAAGAGGUCCACCGGGACCCUCACUAAAGAGUUCCACCGGGACCCUCACUAAAGAAGAUUACCGGGACCAUCACUAAAGAGGUCCACCGGGACCAUCACUAAAGAGGUCCACCGGGACCAUCACUAAAGCGGUCAACCGGGACCAUCACUAAAGAGGUCCACCGGGACCCUCAUUAAAGAGGUUCACCGGGACCCUCAAUAAAGAAGAUUACCGGGACCAUCACUAAAGAGGUCCACUGGGACCCUCACUAAAGAGUUCCACCGGAACCCUCACUAAAGAAGAUUACCGGGACCAUCACUAAAGAGGUCAACUGGUCCCAUCACUAAAGAGGUCCACUGGGACCAUCACUAAAGAGGUCAACUGGUCCCAUCACUAAAGAGGUCCACUGGGACCCUCAUUAAAGAGGUUCACCGGGACCCUCACUAAAGAGUUCCACCGGGACCCUCAGUAAAGAAGAUUACCGGGACCAUCAGGACUACACCACAGAUGGAUUACCAGGACUACACCACAGAUGGAGCUGACGGAGAGAGAGAUCAGUGAAGACCAGGACUACACCACAGAUGGAGCUGAUGGAGAGAGAUCAGUGGACCAGAACUACACCACAGAUGGAGCUGACGGAGAGAGAGAUCAGUGAAGACCAGAACUAUACCAGAGAUGGAGCUGACGGAGAGAGAGAUCAGUGAAGACCAGAACUACACCACAGAUGGAGCUGACGGAGAGAGAGAUCAGUGAAGACCAGAACUACACCACAGAUGGAGCUGACGGAGAGAGAGAUCAGUGAAGACCAGAACUAUACCAGAGAUGGAGCUGACGGAGAGAGAGAUCAGUGAAGACCAGGACUACACCACAGAUGGAGCUGACGGAGAGAGAGAUCAGUGAAGACCAGGACUCGCUGUAUGAACCUGAGAGCUCAGAAUCACAAUCAUCGCAGUGCGAGCCAAGAUAUACUAUCGAUCACUUUGGGGGAGCGGGGUGGUGUUCCCGAAAAAUGGAGAAGGAGCAGGUCAUUCAACCGAGAGUUCAAAAGAUAUACCCCGUCCAUAAAUGGAAUCGGAGCGGAAUUGUUUAUUUUUUUUACCCUGUUUCAAUGGAUGUGCUACCUUGUCCCGGUUCUGCUGUUUCGACUCUCUCUCUCAACCUAUUGAUGCUCAGCUAUGAAAAGCCAACUGACAUUUGCUCCUGAGGUGUUGAACUGUUGCACCCUCUAUAACCACUGUGGUGUUGAACUGUUGCACCCUCUAUAACCACUGUG
ensembl:lncRNA